CGGACGGGUGAGUAACGCGUGGGUAACCUGCCUUGUACUGGGGGACGAACAGUUGGAAACGACUGCUAAUACCGCAUAAGCGCACAGCUUCGCAUGAAGCAGUGUGAAAAACUCCGGUGGUACAAGAUGGACCCGCGUCUGAUUAGCUGGUUGGUGAGGUAACGGCCCACCAAGGCGACGAUCAGUAGCCGGCCUGAGAGGGUGAACGGCCACAUUGGGACUGAGACACGGCCCAA
rnacentral:rRNA from 1 species